AUGGAGCCGACCUUGAAAUACCACCCUUUAAUGUUUGAUGUUCUAACGUUGACCCGUAAUCCGGGUUGCGGACAGUGUCUGGUGGGUAGUUUGACUGGGGCGGUCUCCUCCUAAAGAGUAACGGAGGAGCACGAAGGUUGGCUAAUCCUGGUCGGACAUCAGGAGGUUAGUGCAAUGGCAUAAGCCAGCUUGACUGCGAGCGUGACGGCGCGAGCAGGUGCGAAAGCAGGUCAUAGUGAUCCGGUGGUUCUGAAUGGAAGGGCCAUCGCUCAACGGAUAAAAGGUACUCCGGGGAUAACAGGCUGAUACCGCCCAAGAGUUCAUAUCGACGGCGGUGUUUGGCACCUCGAUGUCGGCUCAUCACAUCCUGGGGCUGAAGUAGGUCCCAAGGGUAUGGCUGUUCGCCAUUUAAAGUGGUACGCGAGCUGGGUUUAGAACGUCGUGAGACAGUUCGGUCCCUAUCUGCCGUGGGCGCUGGAGAACUGAGGGGGGCUGCUCCUAGUACGAGAGGACCGGAGUGGACGCAUCACUGGUGUUCGGGUUGUCAUGCCAAUGGCACUGCCCGGUAGCUAAAUGCGGAAGAGAUAAGUGCUGAAAGCAUCUAAGCACGAAACUUGCCCCGAGAUG
rnacentral:rRNA from 1 species